rnacentral:lncRNA from 1 species
AAAGUCUGGUGAAUAUAUAAGUUUGAUUCGAUACGAUGACGAUGGUAAGAAUGGGGUGUAGCUAAAUCGCGUGCGUCGCGACGCCGCAACCGUCCUGGCGUAACCAAGCAACCCAGGGGGUAGUAGUCCGACGAACAGUCGACUCCGUUUAGGUAUUAGUCUCCAACGAAACUGUAUUGAGAACGGAUCGAGAGGGGGUUGAAAACAUUACGGGGGGACCCUUCUCCUCUUUUUCCUCCUACUCUUCCUUCUCCAAAAAAAAAGAAGAAAAAGAAGAAGAAGAAGAAGAAGUCCUACUCGAUCGCAAGAAAGAAAAAAAAUAUGUCAUCUUUAUUAAUCAUCGAUAUAAUUAUCUAUCGGGUUGGUGGUCUCGGUUAAAUGCCGAGAAUAAUCGACAACGAAAACGAGGACGACGACGACGGCGACGACGACGAAGAAGGACGAACGCAAACGUUGCUGGUGAUUAUCCUCGAUCGAAGUGAUUUUAUCAGGAUGCAAACAGGCUUGGCGGUAACACGUCCCUGAACUGUGUUAUCGAAAACACCUGUGGAGCCUAUCUUCUUCUAGCAAUGAGAGAAAUCUCGAUAUCCGUAUGAUAAAAUUCGAUCGACAACAAACGCGAAUAAAUUUAUUUGAACAAAUAAACCGAAUAGAAUUCAAAUAGAUUUGUAUUAAUGUUUAAUAAAAUGAUGACGAAGAAGAGAACGAAUCGCGAUACGACGACGACGACGACGAUUCGUGGAUUAUCUUAUUGUCAAGUACUGUUAAUAAAUUUAUCCACGAAA